rnacentral:lncRNA from 1 species
GUCUCGGUUCGUAGUGCGAGUUGACCCUCCCUACCUUCGAGAUGGCUAGUGAGCAGUAGGCGAGCUUUCGGGUAAGCCAUGAGAUUAAUGAACAAGUAAAUGAGGUUAAUGAACGAGUGAAUGACUUUACCUUUGGACAUGAUAACAGGUUAGUUGCUUACCUAUUUCUUUGAUGUGCAUUCAUAUAUUUAUGAUUGGGCAUAGUAGAGUAGCUUUACUUCUGUCAUUUACCGCUUUUCUUAUCUAUCUAUCUAUCGAUUAUCUACUUUUGCCCGCUUGGACCUAAUGGGGAGAUCGGCGGAGUCGGCGGCCGAACCCACUGGGAACUAAGGAAGUUAGUUCUCACCCCCAUUUUACCACAGGUUCGAGUUCGGGUGUCCCCGGUGAGCGUGAGGAUCGUGGUAAGGGCCCGGCGCUCUAGUCGCAUUAGCUACCUCCCUUUUGCAUUAGCUGUCACCCCUUUUUGUAUUUGAGAGUAGAUGUUGUAUAGGGUGAGGUUCGAGUGAUUGUAUUUAUAUUUUGGGAGAAAGCAAAAAAUGUAAUUAAAUAUAUGUAUUACGUCAAAUGAAUGUAAUAGAUAGCUUCUUCUCUCUUUAUGUACUCGUAUAUAUUUUUAUACUUGUAUCUUGCUCUCGUCUUGUGGCACUAGUGGUGCUUCUUGAUCGUGUAUUUAUAAAUUGAUUCCUGGGUAAAUUCUUAUACAUGAUCUGUUGGUUAGCCUUGGGUAGACAGGGGAGGUCCUGUCCGUUCGGCGUCUGUUCGACGCGUCCGGGCCAGACCAAAUUGGUAGCGGGCUCGGGGCGUGACAGAUAAGGUGGUAUCAGAGCACCAGAGCAAGUAAAGAGAGAGUCUAGGACGACCUAGGAGACCCUAGGUUGGUAAACCCUAAGGUUAUAGGGACGUGAGUGAACGUGAACCCAUGGCGGUGGCGGAAGUUGAUUGAUUGGGUCGAAGUGGUGUUAUGUCUCUAGCCGUGAAUAGAGACGGAUCUAAGUGAUACUAGUUUCUCGGCUCGUAGUGGUUGUGUCGGCGGCCGACGACGCGACGCUAAGAGUCCAGAACUGGAACACUUGUGAGCUUCCGCCCGAUUUCAUUGUCGGGACGUUUAAUUUCGUGAACGUUGAGGAAGUGAUCGGAUUGAGAUAACUAACAGAGUUGUUGCUUUUCAGGAGCAAUGUCCCCAAGGCGUUACGUGCGUAGGUCUGCUCCGAUACCGCCUUCCGCGGAGCCCGAGCAGCCAAGAUCGGAGGAAAUGCAGGAACUGCGGGAGCAGGUCGCUGCAAUGUUGGGCGCGAUGCAGCGCCAGGAGGCUCGGUUCGAGCAGCUCCAGGAAGCUGUGGAGCGGCAAGCGGCGUCGGCGGCGACCGCGACGGCGGCAGGAGAUCGCGAUCCGCCCGCACCUUCGGCACGCACGCCGGUAGCAGCCGAGGGUAAGGGCAUAGCGGCGGUUCCGAUAGCGGCAGUUCCCCCGCCGACAAGUGCGCCUCCGACAGCUUCGAGUUCAGCGACGCUCGAUACGACGGCUGACGAAGUGGAGCGGGAACGUGCGCUGACGGCUCUGAUGAAGUUUAUGAAGUUUAAGCCACCAACUUUUGAAGGGAGGAAAGUGGAGCCGUCGGUGGUGGAGUCUUGGGUAGACUCUAUGGAAACUCUCUUCGAGGACCUAUACACCCCAGAGAAAGAUAAGGUGCCUUUCGCCACCCAUUGCCUUGACAAGGCGGCGAAGGUGUGGUGGAAGCGGUUGAAGCACGAUCGACCCUCCGACCUUCCACCAAUGCUCUGGGAGGAGUUUAAGAAGGAGAUGUUUGGAAAUUACUUCCCCGACACCGAGAAGCGGAAGCUAAAGGAGAAGUUUCGCAAACUGAGGCAGGGGGAUCGUUCGGUGGCGGACUACGAACAGGAGUUCUCCCACAUUAUAGACUGCGUCCCCGACGUGGUUAAGGACGACGCGGAUCGAGCCGAGUGGUUCUUGCAAGGACUUCGGCCGUGGAUAUAUAGAGCGGUGCAAUUGUUCCAACUCACGACUUUCGCCGAGGUUUUCAAUAAGGCGCUAUGGGCAGAGCAUGGAGACGCCCACGUGCGAGAGGAACGUGAGUUGUUGGCCGGAUCCCAAGACAAGGGGAAGAAGCGAUCGGGCGGUAGUUCGGGGGGCCAGUCGAGCUCCAAAAGACCCCCGAAGUAUCCGCGGUCGCAGUCGUGGGGCCGUGGGCCGCAACGGUGCCCUAUCUGUGGAGAUCGAGGCCAUCGGGCACCGCAGUGUAGACACCGACAGGGAAGGUGCUUUAAUUGUGGACAAGAAGGACACAUCAGCCGCGACUGUCCGGCAAGGGCCUUGUCUACUCCGUCAGUCACAUCGACUCCAGCGCCCUCGCCUUAUCAAGGAGGGGCCCCGUAUGUUCCUGUAUCGGCGGGACGCGCAUUGGCGCCGCGCCAGCCGGAGGUGACUCGAUCAGCGCCGAGCGGUCGGGUAUUCGCCGCUCAGACCCAUGCCGAGGAGCCUGCCCGAGCCGAGGAGCCUGAUGUCGUGGCAGGUAUGGUUCUAUCAAUGGAGUUCGCUCCAGGGCUAUGUUUGAUACGGGUGCCACGCAUUCGUUUAUUAGUAGAGCAUUUGCACGUAUGCAUGACAUACCCAUAGAAGCAAGUGGCAAGUGGCGAGUUGAAGGUCCCGAGUCGUCAUUUAAUACCUACACGGAGUGCUCGUCAUGCCCAGUACAAGUAGGUAAAUGGAUAAUGCCCAUCCGGAUGUUGGAACUCACUAAACUGGAGGCGUAUGACGUCAUUUUGGGCAUGGACUGGCUUUCAAGGUAUCACGCUACGAUCGAUUGUAAGAAUAAAUCGAUCACCUUUCGGGAGUCAGGACAGAAGGAGUUCGUUUAUCGAGCUUGUCGGAGUUCUUGCUUCGUCGCGACGGUAUCAGCGACGAGCUAGGAAGUUGGUCAACGGCGGCUGCGUAGCAUUUUUGGCGACCGUCGUGGAGGUGGACCGGGUGGUGCCGAAACUUUUGCUCUCUCUCAUCCUUCACACUCUUUCUACUCUUUCUCCUAGAAAGAAAAGAAAGGAUGAAGAAGGAGAGAAGGAAAAAGAAAGAAAAGAAGAAGAAGAGGAAGGAGAAAAAAGAAAAGAAGGUGCUCCCUCUUCUCUCCCUGCUCUCAGCUUGGGGCUUUGUGUUUAGUAAGCCUCGACCCUUUUCCAUGGUAAUUUCUUUGUUAGGUUUUGGGCGCUUGGAAUUAGGUUCGAAAGAGCCUAUUGGAAAAUAAAUAGAAAUGGUUCGUAGCUCGAAAUCGACAGCUCGCACCACGAUUUCCCCCUCGUUGCCAAUUCUACGGGCACCGGAAUUGGGAUUUAUGAAAUCUAGGGUUUUCAGUCUAAUCUAUUAGGUCCAAAACACUAAUUGGUAGGUCUCGGAACACGUCGGCGAAGUCGGUUUUCCAAUUCACGACGAGCGAGUGUCGGAUUUUAUCGGCCGGAAUCGGUACCUCGAGGGCUAUCGCUCGCCCCUGAGAGUUAAGCAGCGUGCAAAGACCGGCGGCGUCAAGCUUUGCUAUCAUCAGCGGCAUCGCCAAGAGGCUGCGUGUGCCAUCCCAAGCAAUCGCGCUCCUUCUAUAUCUUCUAGACAUUUCGAUUCCUGCCAUCUUGAUUAAUGCAUGUAGGAUGUUGUGUAUUGCCUUUCCUUAUGCUCCUUGAUGAUAUCGUAGGUCAUGUAUUGAUACUUGACAUAGUGAAUCGAUAAGGAUUGGGUCGAACUUGUGAAUCCUAUAGGCAGAGAAAGAUGGACCUUCAAUGGUUGUUUUGAGCAUUAAACAAAUAACGAUGGCAUUUAGUGAUAGUAAGCACUAAGAACAAAAUGAAGCACAUAUGUAGUCAUAAGUGUAUGUGAAACCUAUGGACGUAUAUGAUGAGGAACCCAGAGGAAGGGUAUUCCGAGAUGAGGAUUGACUGCUUCACGGUCUGUUUUUAAAAUCUUGUAUGAGAAGCCCCACACAAGUUGUGCGUCUCCGGUGUUGGUCACGUGGUCGCCUCUUUUGGUCGCCAAGGGAUUUCCAUAUUUCGGUGUCCCGACAGACGGUCUCGGGUUCGUAGUGCGGAGCUUGACCCUCCCUACCUUCGAAGAUGGCUAGUGAGCAGUAGCGAGCUUCGGGUAAGCCUGAGAUUAAGGAACAACGUAAAUAGGUUAAUGAACGCCGUAGUGAAUGACUUUACUUUGACAUGCAUAACAGGUUAGUUGCUUACCUAUGUUCUUUGAUGUCAUUCAUAUAUUAUGAUUUGGGCUAGUAAGAGUAGCUUACGUUCUGUCAUAUUACCGCUUUUUUUCCUUAUCUAUCUAUCUAUCGAUUAUCUACCUUUGCGCGCUUGGACGUAAUGGGGAGAUCUGGCGGAGUCGCGGCGAACCCACUGGGAAGAAGGAAAGUUAGUUCUGCACCCCCAUUUACCACAGUUCGCAGGUUCGGUGUCCCGGUGAGCGUGAAGGAUCGUGGUAAGAGCGCCGGCGCUCUAGCUGCCAUUUAGCUACCCCCUUUUGCAUUAGCUGUCAACCCCUUUUGUAUUUGAGAGUAGACUGUAUGUAUAGGGUGAGGUUCGACGUAUUGUAUUUAUAUUUUGGGGAAGGGGAAAAUUCGUUUCGAGGACGAAACUCUUUUAAGAUGAGGAUGUAAGGAAGUGAAUCCUCGAAAUCCAAGGAUUAGACUUCGGUUUGGAAUCGACUAUUUGUCGAGCGUGUAGGCUUCGGAAAGUCUGAAGGUGGCUAUAAUGCAUAAAGAGCAUUAAAGAAAGGUCCGCGAGAGCACCAGUGCAAAACUUGCACAGGAGCAGAAAUGCUCUCGGGGACCGGUCCCUGGCAGGGAGGGAUCGGUCCCAUCAGGCUGGGCUGCGGAGGUCUCUGAUGAGACCGGUCCCUGGCAGGCAGGGACCGGUUCCCGAACGUUGGCCCAGCGAGACUAGCCGAAAUUUGGCUAAGUCCCGAGAAUGCAGCUCUCGGGGACCGGUCUCUCGGACAAGGACCGGUCUCCCGGGGACCGGUCUCUCAAGCAAGAAUCGGUUCCCGAACGCGAAAACCCCUCUGCUCGAAAUGGCACCCUUCGGGGACAGGUCUCCCCGAGCUGGGACCGGUCCCUCACUGCGAAAAUGGCCAGAAAGGGCUGGUUCUGAAGAUGAAAAGUUGAGGGGGCUAUUUGCAAAAUGGCCUUUAUUAGAGGCUUGGGGCUCCUCUCUUCCCCUCAUUUGCUCUCUCUCCCUUCCACACUCUUUCUCUCUCUCUCUAGGAAAGAAAAGAAAGAAAAGAAGAAGGAGAGGAAGAAAAUGAAGGAAAAGAAAAAGAAGAGGAAGGAGAAGACAAAGAAGAAGAAGAAGGUCAUCCUCUUCUCUCCCUCUCUCAAGCUUGGGGCUUUAUGUUGAGGUAAGCCUCGACCCUUCCAUGGUAGAUUUCUUGGGUUAGGGUUUUGGGGCUUGGAAUUGGUUCGAAUAGAGCCUAUUGGAGAUAAAUAGAUGGUUCGAGCUCGAAAUUGAAGCUCGCACCACGGAUUUCCCUCUCGUUGCCAUUCUAGGGCACGGAAUUGAAAUUUUGGAAAUCUAGGGUUUUGGUCUAAUCUAUUACGUCGCAAACCUAAUUGCUAGGUCUCGGAACGCGUCGGCGAAGUCGGUUUUUCAAUCCGAUGAGCGAGUGCGGAGUUAUCGCCGAAUCGGGUACUCGAGGGCUCGCUUCGCCCCGAGGAGUUGAAGCGGCGUGCAAAGACCGCGGCGUCAAGCUUUCUAUCAUCGCGGCAUCGCCAAAAGGUGGGUGGUGUCCAUCCCGAAGCAAUCGGGCUCCCUUCUAUGUCUUAGUACAUUUCGAUUCCUGCAUCUUGUAUUAUUGCAUUAUAGGAUUGGAUCAUGCUCACGGUCUGUUUUUAAAUCUUGUGAUGGAAGCCCCACACAAGUAGUGCGCUCCGGUGUUGGUCACGUGGGAUCGCCUAUUUUGGGUCCCAAGGGAUUUCCUAUUUCGGGUCCCGACAGACGGUCUCGGUUCGUAGUGCGAGUUGACCCUCCCUACCUUCGAGAUGGCUAGUGAGCAGUAGGCGAGCUUUCGGGUAAGCCAUGAGAUUAAUGAACAAGUAAAUGAGGUUAAUGAACGAGUGAAUGACUUUACCUUUGGACAUGAUAACAGGUUAGUUGCUUACCUAUUUCUUUGUACAUGCAUUCAUAUAUUUAUGAUUGGGCAUAGUAGAGUAGCUUUACUUCUGUCAUUUACCGCUUUCCUUAUCUAUCUAUCUAUCGAUUAUCUACUUUUGCCCGCUUGGACCUAGUGGGGAGAUCGGCGGAGUCGGCGGUCGAACCCACUGGGAACUAAGGAAGUUAGUUCUCACCCCCAUUUUACCACAGGUUCGAGUUCGGGCGUCCCCGGUGAGCGUGAGGAUCGUGGUAAGGGCCCGGCGCUCUAGUCGCAUUAGCUACCUCCCUUUUGCAUUAGCUGUCACCCCUUUUUGUAUUUGAGAGUAGAUGUUGUAUAGGGUGAGGUUCGAGUGAUUGUAUUUAUAUUUUGGGAGAAAGCAAAAGAUGUAAUUAAAUAUAUGUAUUACGUCAAAUGAAUGUAAUAGAUAGCUUCUUCUCUCUUUAUGUACUCGUAUAUAUUUUUAUACUUGUAUCUUGCUCUCGUCUUGUGGCACUAGUGGUGCUUCUUGAUCGUGUAUUUAUGAAUUGAUUCCUGGGUAAAUUCUUAUACAUGAUCUGUUGGUUAGCCUUGGGCGGACAAGGGAGGUCCUGUCCGUUCGGCGUCUGUUCGACGCGCCUGGGCCGGACCAAAUUGGUAGCGGGCUCGGGGCGUGACACUUGGCCUCGUGUGAGAUGUUUUCAGGUGUAACAACAUGGGACGGUUCACUUUGAUCACAAGGGAGUUCCAACGGUCAAAUAUACACGUUUUUUCACUAGUCAAAUAUACAUUAUCAAUAUCGAAAUUUCCCCUAUGAUAUCAUUUCCUAUUGAAUAGGCAAGAAGAAAGGGAAGGUUUCAUUAAGCCAGUCCUUCAAUAUACUCGCUCAGGUCUAGGUUGGCAAAUGAGCGACCCAACUCGUGUUCUUCUCGCUCGUGCUCGGCUUGUAAUUAAAUGAGCCAAACUUGAAUAGAAAAAAAAAGCUUGAACUUAAUUUCAAGCUGAGCUUGCGCAGUACUAGGCUUGCUCCAAUUAGGCUCGAAAAGCUCAAAAAACAUAUAUGAAUUAAAAAUAUUUAUAAAAAUAUAUAUAAUUAUAUAUAAUAUAU